UUGCUACAAAGUUACAGAAAACUAAAUCAACAACUACACAAACUGAAAUUGGAUACAUUGUAAACACAGGUCCAACGAGGUAAAAACGUAGCUAGCUAGCAUUGAUUUGUUUUUGCAGAGACAUAUUGUUUUGGAGCAUCUGAUGAUGACCUAACAUGGAUUCACCACAAUUUUCAGUCGAACUGGAGAGUCUGAAUCAGUGAAACAGAAGCUGGCACCAAAAACAAGGUGUCUCUGCAGAACCUGGCAGGUGGAGCUGAGCACUAUUUGAACCCAGGUGAUUUCGUGGUGGUCAAAGACUUCAGGAGAAAGAGUUGGAAGGACCCCCGUUGGAGAGGGCCGUACCAAGUUCUUCUGACCACCCCCAACUGCGGAAACCUGACAGAGGGUGAGAUGAGUCCUGAGCCAAAGGGACCAACGCAGGCCCAGAAGUAGAUGGUCUUCGGCGAAAGAGAGCCCUGCUGGGCCCUCAUAACCUAGAGGACUGAUGGAAUGGCCACUACUAAGUUUUCUGAUGAGUAUGACUGUCUACAGGGUCUAGGAAAUAAAGCACAUUUUCUGCUUUUAAAACCGCUUCCAACACAAAAUAUAAUCGGCAUGUUAAAUCAGAGGCUUCGUCAAUAAUUAAAUUAAAUUAACCAGCCCCAAUAGGGACGCCCCUCAGGGGAAACAACAUCUUUGAUAAAGCAAUACCCACAGGUAAAAGGAGACCAAUCUGGCCCAAACAUUAAGGUAAACAUACAGGGGAAGGAAAUAUUAAACCAAUGAGUUAGCAGGCAAAUUUAACCACUACCCCAGGAGGAGUGGGGGUCUCUCUGUUUCCCAGUCCAUCCUGUCUCAGGUGCCAGACUCAUUAUGGACAGAGCACUCCAAUGACAGUGGACUGAUAGGCAGUGCUAGCCCAGUUAUAAUAAAUGUUAAUCCCUGAAAGAAACUCUAGUCUCGAGAGCUACCUUGAAAAGGAACCUCCCUCCAACGUUUCCCUCCCCCCUUCUGAAUUGGCCAAUGUAUUUUACAAUUUCGGCACAUUACAUAUUCAUCUAAAAAUAAUAUACAUUUAAUGAGUGUGAAGCAUAAACUGAAUAUCUAACAGAAAUUGGUAAUAAUUAUUAAGAGUAACAUUGUUAGGGUCGACUAAACUGCAAACAAUGCCUUCCAAUAAGGAGAAAGUUAUGUUUGUUUUGUUUGUUUUUAAACCUUACAAUAGGGGUAAAAGCAGAACAUUGUUUGAGAGUGAUCCGUGUGUAUUAGCAGUAGUAAUUGAGAGGGUUUUUCCUACUGGAAAAUGUAGAAGGGUCCUAGUUGAAGGAAACCGAUAUGGAGACUAGUGAAAGUAACAAAGACGGUGAUAAAGAAAGUAAAGUGGAAAGAUUCAUGGUACUCAUGAUCUAUCAGUUGAUGUCAAAUUUAAUGAGUGUUGACAGAAUGUGAAUGGUAAUGUUAGUGGCUUUCAGAUAGCUUCUUCGAAUUACUUUGAUAUUGCAUUAUUAGAGUGCUAAGGUUUUAAUACAAGGUCACAUGACGAACAGAGGGAUUGCGCCUUGGGACUGAUAUUAUAUUAGAGGCUGCCAUCUGGUGUAUGGGUUAAAGAUAAGCUUCCUGUGGACCAAUCGAUAAGCCGCCAGUGAAAGUGAGUGGUAUUCACUGAACUCAAGCUGUAAUGGACACAGGUAUGAAUAAUUGAAUAAGAUAGGUUUUUGACAAUUUCCAAUUAUUAGUUCUCAAUUCGAUAAUUUGAAUAUACCAGUGAUUUAAAUAAGAAGGUAAUGUCAUCUAAAACAAUAAUCUGUUUCCAUUACGUGGAACACUGUCCAGAAUUGGAGUAGAUCCAUGUAAAUGUUUUAGUACCGAAUAUUGAGCUGAUAAGGCAGCACCAACUUUUUGAAGGCCCUAGUUGAUUUGUUAAACAGGAUUUAUAUUUUGACUAGUUGAUGUCCCAGGGACAGUUAGUACAGAACAUGUAAAAAAUGUCAAUGUCAAUGCAACCCGAUUGUGGUAAGAGCCAUGGAAACAAUGGUUAACCGUUGAGAUGUAUUUACCUCUGAGUCUACAGAUCACUUGUGUAUGUGUGUGUAUUUUACAUUGUACAACCCAGAGUGAAGGGUUUGAAAAGAUAAAGUUUCUAGUUUUAUGUGUUGAUUUCGCUUACUUUAUUAAGUAUUUGGAUAGAACCCCCUUUGAUAGUUUAAGCCAUAAUCUAAUGCUUACCUUAAAAUGUAACAAUAAUUAUCACAGAGAGAGAUGUGAGGGAAAAUUGUAUUGUCUGAAGAGAUAGCCUUGAAUUGUACACAGCAUCUCCUCUCACUGGUUCGUGCAGGUGACUGUGACCUCCUCCUCAGAUCAAUUGGCAGUACGCCCAGAACAUUGCUCUGGGAACAAAAGGAACAUCUCAGUUUCAAGGUCCCAGCUUUAAGAGAAGAAGCCUCGUGAGGUAUCAGUCAGUCACAUGCAGGAACCAACGUUAAUAAUGAAUAAUGUAAAUUAUGCUUCCAUGACUUGUU